rnacentral:rRNA from 1 species
GACGGAGGAUGCAAGCGUUAUCCGGAAUUAUUGGGCGUAAAGCGUCCGCAGGUGGCUGUUCAAGUCUGCUGUCAAAGCGCAGAGCUUAACUCUGUACAGGCGGUGGAAACUGAAGAGCUAGAGUAUGGUAGGGGUAGAGGGAAUUCCCGGUGUAGCGGUGAAAUGCGUAGAUAUCAGGAAGAACACCCGUGGCGAAAGCGGCUCUCUGGAACGGUACUGACGCUGAGACGCGAAAGCGUGGGGAGCGAACAGG